AUGAUCUACUGCUCAUAUCAACUUUUACUGCAACUUUUCGGAGAGGCAUCUGGCCUACGGAUCAAUAUGCACAAGAACACCAUCACUAGCAUACAAUGUGAUGAGGUGCAGGCUGCAGAGGUAGCAGGACACUUCCAGUGCAGGCAACAAGCUUUUCCCAUCCUGUAUCUCGGUAUACCUCUAUCAAUAUACAGGCUGAAGCGGCAGGACUUACUUCCCUUGAUUGAUAAACUGUCAAACAAGAUGAAGGGUUGGAAACCAAAGAUGCUGGCAGUGGCAGGCUGGCUCACACUCACUACAUCGGUCCUCAUGGCACUUCCCAUGCACCUCAUGGCAGUGCUCUCAUUGCCGGUGUGGGCGAUCAAGACUAUCAAUCGCCGUUGCCGAGGGUUUAUGUGGAAGGGGGAGGAUGAGAUAUGUGGAGGCCACCGCCUUAUGCCUUGGACCAGGGUGUGUAUGACGCGGGAGUUCAGAGGAUUGGGUUCAUAA
rnacentral:rRNA from 1 species